rnacentral:rRNA from 1 species
CAAGGCUUGACAUGCACAGGACGGUUGCAGAGAUGUGGCUUUCUUCGGACUGGUGCACAGGUGGUGCAUGGUUGUCGUCAGCUCGUGUCGUGAGAUGUUGGGUUAAGUCCCGCAACGAGCGCAACCCUUGUUCUAUGUUGCCAGCACGUAAUGGUGGGGACUCAUAGGAGACUGCCGGGGUCAACUCGGAGGAAGGUGGGGACGACGUCAAAUCAUCAUGCCCCUUAUGUCUUGGGCUUCAAGCAUGCUACAAUGGUCGGUACAAUGGGUUGCGAAACUGUGAGGUGGAGCGAAUCCCAAAAAGCCGGCCUCAGUUCGGAUUGGGGUCUGCAACUCGACCCCAUGAAGUCGGAGUCGCUAGUAAUCGCAGAUCAGCAACGCUGCGGUGAAUACGUUCCC